UUGUAUUUCGAAUAUUUAUGGCCAAACGCCCAAAAUAAAAAAAGUGAAUAAUUUUUAUGGCCAAACGGCUACUAAGUGUAGAUUCAAUUCUCACUGUCAUUUUCUAGCUGUCUUUAGUACUGUUGGUGUUUUGACUAUUGACUUGAUAGCUGUUGUCUCUUGAUAACUGACUUUCAUCUUUUAUCACUAAAUAUAUUUAUUUCUUGAUACGGUGAAGUUCUUGCUUUUACUGCAGAAGGGAUCUUUCUAUCCGGUUUUAGAUUUCCCAAGCUAACAUGGAAUUAUUGAAGACCUAUUGAAUA